GGUCAAGCGAAUAAGCGCACACGGUGGAUGCCUAGGCGGUCAGAGGCGAUGAAGGACGUGGUAGCCUGCGAAAAGUGUCGGGGAGCUGGCAACAAGCUUUGAUCCGGCAAUAUCCGAAUGGGGAAACCCACUGCUUCGGCAGUAUCCUGCAGUGAAUUCAUAGCUGCUGGAAGCGAACCCGGUGAACUGAAAUAUCUAAGUAACCGGAGGAAAAGAAAUCAACCGAGAUUCCCUAAGUAGUGACGAGCGAACGGGGAGCAGCCCUUAAGCUGGAAUGGCUUUAGAAAAACAAUCUGGAAAGAUUGGCCAUAGAAGGUGAUAGCCCUGUAUUUAAAAGGGCCACUCCAGUGAAGACGAGUAGGGCGGGGCACGUGAAACCCUGUCUGAAUAUGGGGGGACCAUCCUCCAAGGCUAAAUACUCCUGACCGACCGAUAGUGAACCAGUACCGUGAGGGAAAGGCGAAAAGAACCCCGGAGAGGGGAGUGAAAUAGAUCCUGAAACCGUGUGCGUACAAGCAGUAGGAGCUCGCAAGAGUGACUGCGUACCUUUUGUAUAAUGGGUCAGCGACUUACUGUUCGUGGCAAGCUUAACCGUAUAGGGGAGGCGAAGGGAAACCGAGUCUGAUAAGGGCGCAUAGUCGCGGGCAGUAGACCCGAAACCGGGUGAUCUAGUCAUGGCCAGGGUGAAGGUGCCGUAACAGGUACUGGAGGCCCGAACCCACGUCUGUUGCAAAAGACGGGGAUGAGCUGUGAUUAGGAGUGAAAAGCUAAUCGAACCCGGAGAUAGCUGGUUCUCCUCGAAAGCUAUUUAGGUAGCGCCUCGGACGAAUACUACUGGGGGUAGAGCACUGUUAUGGCUAGGGGGUCAUCGCGACUUACCAAACCAUUGCAAACUCCGAAUACCAGUACGUACUAUCCGGGAGACACACGGCGGGUGCUAACGUCCGUCGUGAAAAGGGAAACAACCCAGACCCACAGCUAAGGUCCCAAAUUCACUGCUAAGUGGAAAACGAUGUGGAAAGGCAUAGACAGCCAGGAGGUUGGCUUAGAAGCAGCCACCCUUUAAAGAAAGCGUAAUAGCUCACUGGUCGAGUCGGUCUGCGCGGAAGAUUUAACGGGGCUAAGCAGUGAACCGAAGCUUGGGGUGCAUAAAACUUGUUUUAUGCGCGGUAGAGGAGCGUUCCGUAAGCCUGCGAAGGUGGAUUGAGAAGUCUGCUGGAGGUAUCGGAAGUGCGAAUGCUGACAUGAGUAACGAUAAUGCGGGUGAAAAGCCCGCACGCCGAAAGCCCAAGGUUUCCUUGCGCAACGUUAAUCGACGCAGGGUUAGUCGGUCCCUAAGGCGAGGGCGAAAGCCGUAGUCGAUGGGAAGCAGGUUAAUAUUCCUGCACCUCGCGUGAGUGCGAUGGAGGGACGGAGAAGGUUAGGUGUACCGGGCGUUGGUUGUCCCGGGGAAAGGCGGUAGGUUUGGAUCUUUGGCAAAUCCGGGAUCCUUUAAGACCGAGCACCGAGACGAGCCUUUAUGGCGAAGUCACUGAUACCACGCUUCCAGGAAAAGCUCCUAAGCUUCAGCUCACGAAGACCGUACCGUAAACCGACACAGGUGGGUAGGAUGAGAAUUCUCAGGCGCUUGAGAGAACUCGGGUGAAGGAACUAGGCAACAUGGCACCGUAACUUCGGGAGAAGGUGCACCCUUUUUGGUGGCUCAUGCGAGCUAUAGCUGAAGAGGGUCGCAGAAACCAGGCCGCUGCGACUGUUUAUCAAAAACACAGCACUCUGCAAACACGAAAGUGGACGUAUAGGGUGUGACGCCUGCCCGGUGCUGGAAGGUUAAUUGAUGGGGUCAGCCGCAAGGCGAAGCUCUUGAUCGAAGCCCCAGUAAACGGCGGCCGUAACUAUAACGGUCCUAAGGUAGCGAAAUUCCUUGUCGGGUAAGUUCCGACCUGCACGAAUGGCGUAACGACAGCGGCGCUGUCUCCACCCGAGACUCAGUGAAAUUGAAAUCGCUGUGAAGAUGCAGCGUUCCCGUGGCAAGACGGAAAGACCCCGUGAACCUUUACUAUAGCUUUACACUGAACGUUGAGUUCGUCUGUGUAGGAUAGGUGGGAGGCUAUGAAACUGUGGCGCUAGCUGCAGUGGAGCCAUCCUUGAAAUACCACCCUGUCGUGCUUGACGUUCUAACCUAGAUCCGUUAUCCGGAUCAGGGACCGUGUAUGGUGGGUAGUUUGACUGGGGCGGUCUCCUCCUAAAGAGUAACGGAGGAGCACGAAGGUACGCUCAGCGCGGUCGGACAUCGCGCACUGUGUGCAAAGGCAUAAGCGUGCUUGACUGCAAGAUCGACGGAUCAAGCAGGUACGAAAGUAGGUCUUAGUGAUCCGGUGGUUCUGUAUGGAAGGGCCAUCGCUCAACGGAUAAAAGGUACUCCGGGGAUAACAGGCUGAUACCGCCCAAGAGUUCAUAUCGACGGCGGUGUUUGGCACCUCGAUGUCGGCUCAUCACAUCCUGGGGCUGUAGUCGGUCCCAAGGGUAUGGCUGUUCGCCAUUUAAAGUGGUACGCGAGCUGGGUUCAGAACGUCGUGAGACAGUUCGGUCCCUAUCUGCCAUGGGCGUUGGAAGUUUGAGAGGGGCUGCUCCUAGUACGAGAGGACCGGAGUGGACGAACCUCUGGUGUUCCGGUUGUCACGCCAGUGGCAUUGCCGGGUAGCUAUGUUCGGAAGCGAUAACCGCUGAAAGCAUCUAAGCGGGAAGCGCGCCUCAAGAUGAGACUUCCCGGGGCACCAGCCCCCUAAAGGAACCAUAUAGACUAUGUGGUUGAUAGGUCAGGUGUGUAAGUACAGCAAUGUAUUGAGCUAACUGAUACUAAUGAUCCGUGCGGCUUGACCAU
rnacentral:rRNA from 1 species